GGGAAUGUGGCUCAGUGGUAGAGUGCUUGCCUAACAUAUAUGAAGCCCUAGGUUCGAUUCCUCAGUACCA
rnacentral:tRNA from 1 species